rnacentral:lncRNA from 1 species
AACGUGGUACCAGUGGUGUACGGUCUAGGCAAUUACUCGAUGCUGGCGCCACCUCACUCCUACAUCGACGCCCUCAGCUUCCCCACAGCUAAGGCCCUCGCCGAGUACCUCAUCUACCUGGACAAAAACGACACUGCCUACAAUGAGUACUUCAGAUGGAAACGUUUUCAUUGGAUUCCUCACCCUUGGGCGAAUGAAGCCAAGCCGUACUGCGAUUUGUGUGAGCGCCUCCACCAGGACAACACCACCAAAGUGUACAACCUGCAGCAGUGGUUUGUCCAAGACUCUCACUGCAAGUCCAGCUACAGCAAGGACAUAUCUUUGUUCAUAAACGGGUAUAUCAAACGAUGGCACACAGAAAUUAUCCCUGUAGUGAUAAUUUUCGUAAUUUUUCUCAUAUUCGUCGGCAUUUCAUUUCCGAAGUUUUAUAUCAGACGCAAUAUAUUCCGUAAACAUGGAAUAUAGAAUGAAUUUCAUAGUUCCAGGUAUAAAUUUUUCUCCGUGAAAAAGAACAAGUCCACAAAAGAAGUCCUAAAUCACACGCUGUUCAUAUCGCCACAAAUAUUGUAUUUGUUUCAGAAUUCUUAGUUGCUUAUAAUGGAACUACUUGUUGAUUAUGAAGAUAGUGUCUAAUAAAUUCAGUAACAUACUGUAUAAGUCUUUGUUCUCGAGACAACGUCGACUUCAGGGUUACUGACGUGAUUCCAACAACUCACUCAGUGUAUGUUGUAUUAUCGUGCUAGGGGAAGCAAUUAUCAAAACAAACUAUGUUUUAUUUAUCUAUAAAUGUUAAUGACGUGUGUGUGUGUGUGUGUUUGUGUGCAUUUACCUAAACUACGCGCUUGAAGAGAUUACUCAUAUAAACGUAGUUGUAACCGCCCGAUGAGCUACUGUGGAAUAAUGGGACCCUUGCACCCGGAAGUGCUUCUGUCGCCGCCGGAGUGUCGGGAGAUAUUCUUUCACUCACUUCUUCCAGAACUGGUCUGCAAUGAAUUGGGCAUGCUUCCAUUUUCGUCGGUACGCUUCUGCUAUGGACUGAUCGCCUCCAGUGGGCAGGGUUCCCGCAUGCAUUCGCGGCUUUGGGUUCUCUGGCCAAAUUCUGCUCCAUGCAGUCCACGCCUGGCAUCAUGAGCUGGGUUUUGGUUGGAGCUCACGUGUCUCCAUUGUUCUGCGUCAGAAUUCUCAUGUAUCGUUGCAUUGCGGUUUGCCAAAAUGGUAUGGAAGCGCCGUUCAGUGUUUCGUAUGUAUUGAAGGGUGACCAUGCUGUCUGUCCAGAACACUGAUCUGUCGAUCUGCAACUCUAGUUCUUCUCUCAGUUGUUUGUCUGCUUUGGCCGCCAACACUGCCGCACAUAGCCCGAGCCGAGGUAUGGUUUGCUGUUUCAGAGGAGCUAGCUUGGCUCUGCCACACACAAAGGAGGUAGAGUGGGCUCCAUCUCCACUUGUGAUCCUGAGGUAGCAUACAGCCCCGUAUGCUUGCUGGGAGGCGUUGCAGAAGUGGUACAGUUGUACCAUAGUUAUUGGAUUUGCGCAUUCAGGGUGGUAACAUCGAGGGAUGCGUACUUGAGACAAGUGGGGUUAGUUCAUUUAGCCACUGCCGCCAAGCGGCUCUGUUGAGUUUGGUCAUUUGCUCAUCCCACCCGAAGCCUCGCCUGCACUCGUCCUGGAAUUUGAUUUUGGCUUGUAUGGUGCUCGGAGCGAUAAUUCUUAAUGGGUCGUAUAUGGAGCUGACCAUACUCAGGAGACCUCGCUUCGUUUGUGGCUUCGUUGGGAUCUGGAUUCGGACUGCAAGUUCGUCAUUCUCUUGAUCCCACGUGAUUCCCAAUGCUCGCUCAGCUGGGAGCCUGUCAUCCUUCAAAAGUACUUCUUUCACUUCCAUGGCUCUUUUCGUUUGUUGGACUAUUAUGAGGACCACUUUGUGGUUGCAAAUCCAUUUUGUAAGUCUGAACUCGCCUUUCUUCAUCAACUGCCUCAGUUGGUGAGUGACUAUCGCUGCCUUCCCUGGUGAUGCUACUGAAAGAAGCAGAUCAUAAACAUAGAAGUUGCGACUUGCUUUCUUAAUUUCUUCAUGGAGCCUUUGUCUGUGGUCUUAGAAUGUUCGUCGUAGUGCAUAUCCAACACAAGAUGGGCUCCACACUCCCCCGAAGAGAUGUACCUUCAUUCGGUAAGUGGCCGGGUCUCCCGAUAGUUGGUCGUCUGUCCACCACAGGAAGCGCAAGGCGUCUUGAUGCUUAGGCAGUACUCGUACCUGGUGGAACAUAACCUCGAUAUCAGCCAUGAAUGCUACCCUUUCGUGUCGGAACCUAAUGAGGACUCCCAUCAAUUUGUUGUUGAGGUCUGGCCCUUGCAUCACUUGGCUGUUCAGGGACACUGACUCAUAUGUUGCUGCACAGUCAAAACUAUUCUCAACUUCCCGGGCUUAUUUUGGUUCAAUACUGGGUGAUGUGGGAGGUACCAGGUUUUACCCCGGCACAAUGGUAAGCUCACGGUGUGGGACUCUCUCAGUAUGUCCCUUGUUGAUCAGGUUUUGCAUCUCUUCUCGAUAUCUAUGGCGGAGGUCUGGGUCUUUCAGGAGACGUUUCUUUAAGCUCGCUAACCGUUGCUCAGCUAGUUUCCUGUUAUUCGGGAGUUCCGGCUCUUCAUGACGGAACGGUAUGGGAAGUUGAUAGUGCCCGCCCACUCUCGUCACUGAAGUUGACCAUAGCACCAGGACUCUUCUGUCUCUAAACGUGUCUCCAGGCUCAGCGGCUUUUCUGAGAUGAGGUGGUUGAAUGAUAGGUGGUCACUUAUUGCAGGUCCAAUCAGUCCAUUUAUGGUCCAUCCUAGAAGUAUGCUCACCGCGAACGGCUUUCCGUUCUCCCCGGUCCUUACUUCUAACGGUGUCAGGGCUUGUGUUACAUCUAACCUUAUCAGAAGAUCCACUCUUUCCGGUGCGUGGAAAUGUGUGGUUCCUUGGAGGUGCCUCCAUUUGGCAACAGCUCUGGUGUUCACAACCGAUGCUUCCAGUGAAGAAGGCAGGUCUUUAAUAACGAGGAUUCUGGGAAUGUUGAUGGAUCGACUUCUUCUCACUCCGACGCUAGUCACCUUCAGAACGAUCUCUUUGACCUUCACGCUCUUCGUCUCCUUCAGGAUCGUGCCUAUGGAGACUGAAACAGACUUCUCUGUUAUUUGUAGUCUGUUGGUUAGGCUCUCAGUGCAGUAAGACCUGUUGCUGCCUGAGUUCAAGAGUGCUCCGGUGAUCACUGUUGUAUUCGUUUCUCGCCUUAUCUCCCGGACUUUGACCUUUAAUAUGGGGAGUGCAACUCCGCCUGGAUCUGCUCUAAUCAUAUGUCGUAAUCUUCGUGCCCCUCGCACUGGUUAUUUUCUCGAUCGUAAGUAUUUCUGGCCCAUUUAUACAAGUUUUCUCGGUUCGUGGUCACUAAUGCAACCUUCUUGUUUCGAGCCCUUUUCUCCGUAACUCUCGAGCUGGAUUCGGGUUUCCAUGGCCUAGCUCCACUGGUCGUUGAUUUCUGUGCCGACAUGAUGGCCUUGAGUUGACAGUUACCUAGCUUUUGCCGCUUGUGGUUGGGCGACACUUCUGACUGGUGUGCAUCCAUGUUGGAAGCUCUUUCCAUCCCUUAAAAACUGGCUAAAAGUUCCUUUCUUGAUGGUUCGUCCUGGUUUGGCGUGUUAUUGAGCAUAGAAUUUCUCGAGAAGUGCAGGAGAUUCGAGUGGAAGCUAUAGCAGCCAUCUAUGCAGCACCUUGUCUUCUGGAUGCACUUGGCCAUCCGGUGAGUGCGAUCUAAGCAGGCAAAACAGCGACGUUCUUCACGUAUGAAUGAAAUUCGCGCUCCAGUCGACAUGUUGAGGAAUGCUUGGCAUCUCUGCAGAGGGAGAUAUCCAGGGCACAACAGGCAAGUGCUGUCGUCCCUUCCUCUAACCUCCUCUCUUCCCGAAGUCACUAUGCCCACAGGUCUCCUUUCUGAUGAGGAAGGGUAUGGGUGUGAGCCUGUUCAUGUACUGUUCGGCUCUUCUUGUCUUUGUCCCCUCGAAGCCCUCCUUGUCCUGUCUAGCAUCUCCAGUAGAAAAUCCUUCAUCCACUCGACCCCUGGAAAAUUCCCGUGUCUCCUUUCAUAGUCAUAUGCUCAGCAUAUGACUAUGAAAGGAGACACGAUAGAGCAUAUUAUGCUCUAUCCUCAUAUCGCGCCCUGAUCUUUCCUGUGAAUCUCUUAGCCAAAGUAUUCAGUGAUUCGUAAGUGUCAAUUUCAUGCAGUUUUCCUAGCACCUUUAAGUUGCUUACGCAAUUUCCAAGAUUGUCCGCGAGCUCCUGAAGUCUUUUAAUGUCAUCUGUUCUCACGGCUGGCCCACGUAGGACCUUGCCUAUUAGUUCUUGGAUGUAGGAUUACUUGUUGCCCUGGGAUCUUCUAUUUGCAGGCACACUCUCAGGGAUUUCUUAGUGCGGCCGAUGUAGGCCGAGAGAAGUGUUUCCAAUUUUAGUGCAUAGUGUAUGGACGCCUCCCCAUUGUGUCUUUGGAAGGCAUGCUUGAACUCCCAAUACUCGUCACAAGUCCCUCCGCUGAAUUUUGGCAUCGGCCAUUAACUUUUCCAGUCUCUGGGUUGGUAGCAUCGUGUCCGAUGGCCUCCCUUCCAUCCGUCCUGGGCGUUCUCACUAUAUAUCUUGUACUUUUUUUUCCUUCUCCUAGGUUCCUGUUGGUGUCACUGCUUCCGGAAAGUGGGUAUGACAGGUGGAAACAUGUUCCCUCUCCCCCUGAGGAGAUGUUCGCGACUCUGAGGCGCUGAGUGUUGGGAACCCUCCUUGGGUGGGAGUCUAGGUGUAGCAGUUAGACACUCCUGGUUCUGGCGGUUGACAAUAUGUAUCUCAUGGAUACCUCGUCGCGGCUAUCAUCCCCUCACUCGUUUCCAGAAAAGGUUUUCCUCCUGGGAAUGAUAGCAUCUCACCAAAGUCAUCCGUAUCACCUAAAGUCUGCAGUUGCUCCAUAUGAUCUUUCAUAUUCUGCAUCAUUGCCGUCAAUUGGGUGAGCGUCUGCUGAUAACCCCCGAUUACCCUAUUCUUCCGGCCUGUUGGUUUCAUCCUUCUCUUGGGUGAAAGGGUUUCUCCACUUCGCCCUGACUGUGUGAGUGACCAACUAGCAUCUCCGUCGUUCAGGGCCUCCAGGUCUUCUAGGCUAGCUAGGCUUAUCUCCUCUGCCGUGUUCCCUUCCAUGACUGGUGGCACAGUGAACUCGAUUUGGCUCUUUCGGUGGACAGUUAUAGAUACGUUCGGUUAAGCCGGAAUGCUCUUCAACUGACGCGCCUGCUCGUUUAUAACGAUGUCACAUGACUGAGAUCAUACAAGAGAUGUCAUACAACUGAAGUCAUAUAAGCGAUGUCAUAUAAUUGAAGUUAUAUAAGUGAUGUCAUACAACGGAAGUCAUGUAAGCGAUGUCAUACAACUGAAGUCAUAUAAGCGAUGUCAUACAACUAAAGUAAUAUAAACACGUGCAUUAAGCACGAGCGAAGUCACACUAACACGACAACAGAGGCACCACAAUCAGUGUAGGGAUUCCUUACACAACUGCUAACAUCAUAAAACUGAUGCCACAAACACUACUGUGCCCUUACUCACAACGUUCCUUAACUGUCACAACUACUAUUUUCUAACAGAAAGGGCAACUCACUCGUUCUUAAAUUUUAUUUACAAUUGGAGAUGCAGUCUGGUUGUAUGCUUUGAACACUAUCUCUCCCGCGUGUACAUGAGAAUGUAAGUGACACAGAGUACACUCUUUCCUCACACGCGGUCCUCGCUGCUGGUGGCAUUUCGAUCCGGAUUGAACGAUAACACUCCUGCACGCCUGUUCGAACAAUUUUGGCACCGAGACCAGUCCUCUCUGACACUUGACCCACAUACAGAGGUGUCACAUUUCUCUACGUACACAUAUGAGUGCUAUACACAAACUCAACCCACAACCCCCUUUUCGUUGGGGUUAACUAUUAUUAUAUUAUAGGCAUCACACUUUAGUUGAUGAUUCACAAAUUCUCACAUAGGCAUCCCAGCUCUCCUGCUGUGUAGCUGCCUGGUGCUCCGGCGCCGGAAGGAAGCUCCCCGCUGAAGGUCCAUCGACGGUUGAGUCACUCGCCAGUUCUCGGUAGAUUGUAUCGGCAGACUGUAGUGUCAUGGUCACAAUGGCACUGCUGGUCUGUUUGAAACCUGAUGAUUCAUAUUAUGCUUCACGCCCUCAAAACAUGUGGAUAACUGGUGAGUUAUCCCUAGGAAGGGAUUUUCCCUAGCUUAGGUGCCGUCCAUUUUCUCUGACUUUCUGAAACCAACCUAUAUAAAGUAAAUUUGAAUGUGAGCGAGAACACCGUUGUUUUGCACCAACUUAGAUAUGUCUGAUUACAGUUAAAGCAUUCAAGAUCCGUUGUGAGUGAUGUUGAAAGCUUCAACUGUCUUUAUAGUUAGUAACACUUAUCAAGUAAGUGAGGGUCGAGUCUGCCAGUAUGAAUGACAUCCCGUGAUAUCGUCCUUGGGUAUAGCCGUGAAUUUCCAAUUGUUACUGAAGUUAGAUUAUUUUGAUGCCCAAACCUCAGAGAAUCUGAUAUUUGGAGUUUGAUUAUUGUCAGUUGUCUAUUUAAGAAAGUAAUUAAUCUCCUGAAAAGAAUAUGUCACACUCUUAUCUCCAAGAUCUCAACGUUUACCCAUAGAAGGUCCUUGCCUAGAAAUCCCAAUUAUGUUGUGAGAAUGACGUUAACAGCGUGUGUAUUUGACAUCCAUUUCACUUCUUCCUGGCAAGCCCAAUCUCUGAUUAGAUUAUAAAAAUAGACGUAAGAAAUUCACCUGACCCAUGACUGAUUUUCAUAGUUAAAUGUUCAGCAACUGAGUUGAAUGUAAUUUCUGUCAUUGAGUGAUUAGCCUUUCUGGCAUGUGUAGUGCAGAGGACUGAGUUGCCAUUUAGCUGUAUAUAAACUCGUGUUCGAGGAGAAGCGUCACAUCUCUGACGCUGUCCCAUCAUAUCUCAGGUAUGUGUAUGUUCUCACGCCCGCUAUAUGAAGUCAGUUAAACUUAGUGAAUUUUGUGAAUAUCAGUGUUCAUGUUGUAACAGUGAAAUUAUCAUUUACCCAGUGAGAGAAUUAAUGUAGUGUAAAUAUCGUCUGUCAUUGCCAGACGAAAGAUUGUUUGUGAUUGAGUUAUUUUUCACAUCUCUGACGCUGUCCCAUCAUAUCUCAGGCACAGUGUGUGUGUUAGCUGAAUACCUGACAGACACAGGGAGGCCGGUAGCUGCACACCAGCUGGCUGCCUCUAGGAUGUCGUUAAUUCAGCAUGAUUAAUUUGUGCGAGUCCGCACCCUGGUGACUUGGCUCGAACUACCUCGCUGUGUGUCGGACUGUAACCGACCCAAACAGCGCUCUUUGUUUGUCGUGGUGACACCACUGUGACACCCUGGUGCACUCCUUACAGUUAUAUGGGCCAAAGUAUUAUUGUUGUAUAUGAUUGGGGAUAAUUAGCAGAAAUAUAGUUAUUCCAUGUUGAGAAGCGAACUCAUAAAUACUGAUAGUACCAGUAAUAACGUGUUAUGUGUUGUGAAUUGCAUCCUCCAUAUGUACUACCAACUGAGUUCUAGUGAAGGUACCAUAUGUAAGCUUGUCAUGUUGUGUGUUCUUUUAAAUGUACAACCAGUAAUGAUGUAAGAAGCAUGAGUAUCUAAUUGAAAUUGCAGAUGAGUAAAGUCAAGGAGUUGAUCCUUGUAGUUGUAUGUUAAUGACAUCUUUAACCAGAUUUAAUUUCAUAUUCAUAAACCAUUUUUAGAGUAUGAUAGAGGUAUCAUUUUCCCUCAGUAUCUACCUUUAUUCUUGUCCAAUAGCUUGAUACCAAAAUUACUUAACCCAUGUGCCCAAACCCUUGCCAUGCUACCAAAGGUCAGAGGUUAUGAAGUAACUAUAGGAAAUGAAAUAAUUAGACAGAACUAAUGGAGAAAAUGAAUGAAAUAAGGAAAAGAAAAGAAAAGAAGAAAAGAAGAAAGCCUCCACCCUUAUAAAUGGUUUGCAGCAGUGGGAUUGUAAUUUAAUAUAUCAAGUUGGGAAGAAUGAAUGUGAUACUGUGGGUGUUUUUUAACUGUCAUUCGUAAUAACCAUUUCUCUAAACAGGUACCUAAUAACCAUUUCACUGUAACAAAUGAGUAUUUCAGAUUGCUAAUAUUUUGUUACGUAUUUUUCCAUUGUACAGUAUAGUAUGUUAUUCUGUGAUAUUUAAGUAGGGACUUAAAUUAUUUCAUUUGGUAGUAAUUUUGUUCAGUGGAAACAGUGUUAAGGAAAUGUACAGAUUUUUUUUUUUUGGUUUUGCCGAGAAAUUGAAAUAACAGUUAAGAGUAAAUACUUCACUUGAAGUUAGGUAAGAACAAUUGCCUCAAAGAAAAAUAGAAAUCUUGUUUAAAGUAAAUUGUACUUGUAAUGCUGUUGUGUAGAAACAUGAAAUAUUCAGAGUAAUGGUAAUUGUCUGAAAAACAAAUGUCAGCUACCUAACUUAUAUAUUUUUGCAUUCUUCUUUUUUGUGAAAUCUCAGAAAAAGUGUUUAUUAUAUACCAGUGUAAUAUUUUUUUGGUGCCUUCCUACACUGAUACCAUAGCAACUGUUGUGACCACUCAAGUUAAUACUUUGAUAUUUACAGACAAUGAGUGAGCAGUGAACAUCUGCCGUGUUAAGAGUGUUGUGGGCAGUGUUCAUUUCUGAGUGUCACCUGAAGGCCAUUAUUGUACUAAGGUUAUGUAACUUAGUUUUAUUUGUAAUUGUGAAAUUUAUUUGAUGUAUUUGUUGUGGUUUCAAUAGGAAGUGUUGAAAUUCUCACUUGACGACAUAUUUUUUUUUGGCUAAUGAAUUUAUUUUAUAUAACCGAGUUGAGAGUUAUAAAAAAAUUUGUGUGUGUA